rnacentral:rRNA from 1 species
UGGUGCCAGCAGCCGCGGUAAUUCCAGCUCCAAUAGCGUAUAUUAAAGUUGUUGCAGUUAAAAAGCUCGUAGUUGAUUUUCUGUUAAUUUUUAUGUAUAAUAUUGCGAUAUUUACAUAAUAUUAACAUAAUUCACACUACUUUACGGUAUGUGGAAUUUUACUUUGAGAAAAUUAGAGUGCUUAAAGCAGGCUAUUGCCUUGAAUACUCCAGCAUGGAAUAAUAUUAAGGAUUUUUAUUCUUCUUAUUGGUUCUAGAAUAAAAAUAAUGAUUAAUAGGAACAGUUGGGGGCAUUUGUAUUUAACAGUUAGAGGUGAAAUUCUUAGAUUUGUUAAAGACAAACUACUGCGAAAGCAUUUGCCAAGGAUGUUUUCAUUAAUCAAGAACGAAAGUUAGGGGAUCGAAGACGAUCAGAUACCGUCGUAGUCUUAACCAUAAACUAUGCCAACUAGAGAUUGGAGGUUGUUCCUUACUCCUUCACCACCUUAA